rnacentral:lncRNA from 1 species
AAGGGUACAAAUAGGGUUUCUGACAGUGAGGUCUGAGCAUUUCUCCAGGCUCGCUUCCUGCCUAUCGCUGCUGCUGUGUCAGUUUUGGACAAUGGUGAUUCUGUUCGCAUUUCGUGGUGGAUUCCCGACGCAUCCAGAGCUCCGAAGAACAGGAUAUUUUGACACAGUUCACACAUCAAAGAUAAGCAUUAAUGCCUCAUUACGUCUCCAAAAUGCAGCAUGACAGCAGCAAAGGGCUGAUAUGAAUAAGCGGCAAUGCUGUCAGCAGGAGGGAGACUUAUUGAAGAUAUCAUCACUGCAUGCUAUCAGAUAUUAUGUGUAAAAAUGGCCAUACAACACACAGAGUCCACUUUGGCAGUGCCAAGUACUGCUUGGCAUGGAUCUGCAGCAAAGCCCUGCCCUGCUGAAGCCCGAGAUGUGACGCACAACACUGUUUGGGGUUUCAGAGGGAUCUCUGACCCCAGUUGAAUGUGCUCAGAUUUGGAUGAAGGUACUUAUCUGAAGCCUGCAUGUAUUGAAGAAUUCCAGAGAUAAGUUCCUCUUCCUGCCUGGCUGAUACGCAUCUCCUGUGGCACAGCUAGAGAGCAAUAUUCAUUAAAGUGGGGCUUCACAAUAUCCCCAUCUCAGUGCAAUAGAGCAAAAGCUGCUUGAGAUGACGUGACUGCAUGUUCUGCUCACGGCGAGAUGCUUUCCUUUCAGAUGUUUUUAUCAGCACUUGCUAUUGAAACAGCACCUGAUGGCAUCUGAAUACUCUCUCCCUGUAAAUACCAGUGAAUGACAAACUGUUCAGCAGCAGAGAACUGGGGGGGGCACUGCCCACAUCAGCACUUUGGGCAGGGAUCCACCUGCCUGCAGCAUAUGGCACAGCUUCUUCCCAAGAUUGAUGGCUUGAAAGGGGCAGUGGGGCCACAAGGAAGAGUUGCUGUGCUGCAGAUGCAGUCCUUGGGCAGGUUGGAUGGGUGCAAGAUCAGAUGUUCCUCUCAUGCAUCACAGGCACUAUCACCUCAAGCUCCUCUGCUAAGACCUUGCAGAAUUCAACUGAUUCCUGGAUUCCAGCUCAGAAAGAAGGCAAGAACUGAAUAAAAGUCUUUUUGUGGGUUGUUUGUGUGUGUGUGUUUUGUUUGCUUCUUUGUUAAUUUAGCACAAAUCAUCACUUGCAUGAGCACAAGCUUAGCAUACACAUCUUCUGGCAAUGCUCCUCCUCCUGCACAUGGAGCUCCUCAGCCGCCCGCAGCGGGACGUUGUGAAUCUCAAGCACCAAUCAGAAAGAUCACAGAAUCAUAGAAUCACAGAAUGGCCAGGGUUGGAAGAGACCUCAAGGAUCAUGAA